AUUGAACGCUGGCGGCAGGCAUAACACAUGCAAGUCGAACGAGUGGCGGACGGGUGAGUAAUGUCUGGGAAACUGCCUGAUGGAGGGGGAUAACUACUGGAAACGGUAGCUAAUACCGCAUACCAUCGGAUGUGCCCAGAUGGGAUUAGCUAGUAGGUGGGGUAACGGCUCACCUGGGCGAAGAUCCCUAGAUGGUCUGAGAGGAUUACCAGCAACCCGGGAACUGGUACACGGUCCAGACUCCUACGGGAGGCAGCAGUGGGGAAUAUUGCACAAGGGGCGCAAGCCGGAUGCAGCCAUGCCGCGUGUAUGAAGAAGGCCUUCGGGUUUUAAAGUACUUUCAGCGGGGAGGCGUUACCCGCAGAAGAAGCACCGGCUAACUCCGUGCCAGCCGCCGCGGUAAUAC
rnacentral:rRNA from 1 species